CAUGUGUUAUUGUUAUGAAAUCUAUUUAUAGCCACAGAUCUGUUAACGAGUUCCAAUCAUUUAACGUUACAGUAUCAUCAUUUGUGGUACAUUAUAUGUAUCAAAAUCACGACUUUGUAAUAGUUCUUUAAUAUUUAAUCAUAGUGACAGGAAAAGGAAAGAAAACAUAAUUAUAAUUCGAAUCUACAGCCACAUGGAUGGAAAAUUCAAAUUCGUAGGCGUUUCGUAUGUCAGGAAUCGGGAUGCAUUGAUAAAGUGAAUAUUACAGAUUUUCUUGAACAAAAAGGUAGUUCAAGCGUUUGACAUGCUCUCAAAGGUCGGAGGGGCAGAAAUACGUGAUAAUGUGAAAAGAAACAUGAAUCAUGGGAAAUGAAAAUGAUAUCACAAACGCCAUUGGCCAUUAACAUGUUACAUCCUCCGGACAGAGGGGUGGUGAGAGAAGGUCAUAUAUAUCUAUAUAUCUAAAGGCAUCAUACCUCCAAAUUCGUGCUAAUUCUCGUGGAUAUUUAAAAGUACAUUUGUGUAUAACUUUGUGAAGUAACUAAAAGGAAGUAAAUUAUACGUUAGUGACAAUUAUCAAAAGGAGGUCAAAAUAUGAAAAAUACCACUAAAUGUUUUAGUAAUGCUGUAGAAAUAUAGUUAAAAUACUGAAUAUCUGUCAUUAAUUGCUUGAAACAUUAUUAUCCGAAUCUUUUAACUUUUCUUAAAAUUAAAAUAUUUUCAUUAUUUUGUUUGAUUAGGCAAACUUUGA